rnacentral:lncRNA from 13 species
GAGAGAGAGAGAGAGAGAGAGAGAGAGAGAGAGAGAGAGAGAGCGCGAGAGAGAGAUAAAGAGGGGAAGAGAGAGGAGACAGAGAUUAGCCAGUGCAGUGGAAUCAAAUCUCCCUCCUGGGGGCAUUGAGGGCAGUAAAUCCAUACACAAUGCCCCUGUGAUGAAAGGAGCCAGACAGACAGAGACAGCAGAAGAAGCUGCUGCUUCUAUUGCAGGAGAAUACAGAGUGAAUCCUCUCACAACCAUAUACAACACUCUCACAAACAUCCACCUGACUGACACUUAUUGGAAUGGAGAAACACCGGGACCUUCUAAUCUAACACCUUCUAUCAUCCUCCCUAAGGCCAAUUCUAAUGGAGAAGACAGAAGGGGAAAUAGAGUGAGUUAGAAUGAAAGCACUACAUUUAUUUAAAUAGGCACUGACGGUUGUGUUCCCAUCUUGGAUUGGGGCUUUGGCCUUGCUGGUGUGUUUCGGCCUAUUCUGAAAGAAAGUGAUGAUUUUCAAAACUAGAAUAACUAGCAUUCUAGUUCUAACUAGGAUGUGUUCAAACUAGGAUGUGUUUUUAACUAGGAUUUGUUCCAACUAGAUGUGUUCAUACGGCCCGUCCUAGGGGACUGACACGGUUGACCAACUCUAGAGUGUGCCAGGCUGAUGGAGGCGAGGGACCGGGAUGCCCCUGGGGACACUCGACACGGGGUGUUGUUCGAGCGGAGCCCAUAAAUGUCAUCGCCAAUCAAAGCACUUGUGUGUGAACACGGACAUGGGGAGGGAAAUGGAUCAGGUGCUAAGAGCUAGCACCACUAGCACCAACUCGCUAGCCAGGUACGGGAAUAUGAGAAGCCUUCUCUCGAAGAUUGACGGCGAUUGGACUGGUCCGGGUAAGUCCCACUGUUCCACUACAGCUCCACUGGAGCACCAUGUGUCCUGGCCAGCUAAUUGCCCUUAGUUCAACUCCAUUAAACCCUUUCAGGCAAGAACACAGCUACAACCGAAGAGGUCCUUUAAUAGACCAAGACACAUCUCUCUACUCCUGUUCUAGCCAUGGGUCCCAGAGGUGAAGAGAAGGGUCACUUUGAGCUGCGGAGGAGGUGAGAGAGGAGGAGUGACAAGAGGGAGGAGUGCAAAUGUUGCUGUGGUGCUAUGUAUGUGUGUGAGAGAUUGAGAGAGAAAGAGAGCGAUACAGCAGAGCCAAUAAUGAGCUACUGUUGCCUACCAUUGAACAUCUGACUGACAUGUCGUGAUACGAACACCUGACUAAACGCCUGCAUGACGUCUACAUCUUAUGCUGUUGCCUACCAUUGAACGUCUGACUGACAUGUCGUGAUACCAACACCUGCAUCUUACAAAAUAGCAUUGAGCUACACUACCUGUCGAACGUUUCAGAACACCUACUCAUUCAAGGGUUUUUCUUUAUUUUUACUAUUUUCUACAUUGUAGAAUAAUAACGAAGACAUCAAAACUAUGAAAUAACACAUAUGGAUUCAUGUAGUAACCCAAAAAUUGCUAAAUAAAUAAAAAUGUUUUUAAUAUUUGAGAUUCUUCAAAUAGCCACCCUUUGCCUUGACAGCUUUGCACACUUUUGGCAUUCACUCAACCAGGUUCAUGAGGUAGUCAGUCACCUGGAAUGCAUUUCAAUUAACAGGUGUGCCUUGUUAAAAGUAUAUUUGUGGAAUCUUUCCUUCUUAAUGUGUUUGAGCCAAUCAGUUGUGUUGUGACAAGGUAGGGGUGGUAUAUAGAAGACAACCCUAUUUGGUAAAAGAUCAAGUCCAUAAUAUGGAAAGAACAGCUCAAAUAAGCAAAGAGAAACAACAAUCCAUCAUUAAUUUAAGACAUGAAGGUCAGUCAAUCUGGAACAUUUCAAUAAUUUUGAAUGCAGUCGCAAAAACUAUCAAACGCUAUGAUGAAACUGGCUCUCAUGAGGAUCGCCACAGGAAAGGAAGACCAAGAGUUACCUCUGCUGCAGAGGAUAAGUUAAUUAGCGUUACCAGCCUCAGAUUGCAGCCCAAAUGAAUUCUCACAUCAACUGUUCAGAGGAGACUGCGUGAAAUCAGACCUUCAUGGUUGAAUUGCAAACAAACCACUACUAAAGGACAUCAAUAAGAAGAAGAGACUUUCUUGGGCCAAGAAACACGAGCAAAGGACAUUAGACAUUAGAAAUCUGCCAUUUGGUCUGAUGAGUCCAAAUUUGAGAUUUUUGGUUCCAAUCGCUGUGUCUUUGUGAGACGCAGAGCGGGUGAACGGAUUAUCUCUGCAUGUGUGGUUCCCACCAUGAAGCAUGGAGGAAAAGGUGUGAUGGUGCUUUGCUGGUGACACUGUCUAUUAUUUAUUUAGAAUCUAAGGCACACUUAGCCAACACGGCUACCACAGCAUUCUGCAGCGAUAGUCCAACUAAGCUCAAACCAGAUGGGAUGGCGUAUCAUUUGUUUUUCAAUAACAGGACAAUGACCCAAAACACACUUCCAGGCUGUGUAAGGGCUAUUUAACCAAGGAGAGGGAUGGAGUGUUGCAUCAGAUGACCUGUUCUCCACAAUCACCCGAUCUCAAACCAAUUGAGAUGGUUUGUAAAUGGUUGGACAGCAGAGUGAAGGAAAAGCAGCCAAGUGCUCAGCAUAUGUGGAACAACCUUCAAGACUGCUGGAAAAGCAUUCCUUAUGAAGCUGGUUGAGAGAAUGCCAAGAGUGUGCAAUGCUGUCAUCAAGGCAAUGGGUGGCUGCUUUGAAGAAUCUCAAAGAUAUUUUGAUUUGUUUAACACCUUUGGUUACUACAUGAUUCCAUGUGGUAUUUCAUAGUUUUGAUGUUUUCACACAAAUAACUGGUACUGUAUAUUAUAUAUAUUGUGGGGGAAUUGUGAGGGAUCAGCCGAAUCAAGUGGUCGACUGCACCCUCCCCUGGAUGUGGGCCGCAGUACAGCCACUACUGAUGAGCUCACCUGAGGCCAAUUGACUGAUUAUUGUUUGUGCCUGACUGAAGGGGCAUAGGGGGUAGAGUGAUUAUGAGCUGGAGACUAUUCCUUCUUUUUUGUUGAAGUCACGUCUCUGAGUCUCAUUUCAUGCUGUCCUGCCUAGGAUUUCGUCAGUGAAUAGGUAUGGCCUUUCACAAUAUAUACAUACACAGUCGUGGCCAAAAAUACUGGCAACCUUGCACUUUUUUCAAGUAACUCACAAUUAUCCCUAAAAAUAAGUUGAAAUUGAACAAAGUAUUUGGUCGCCACAAUUUUUUAUUUCACUGUUAAUAUUACCAAACCUUUGUUUUUGAUUCAGAAGUUAAUAUAUCCAUAUAAAUCAUAAAAUAAACAAAUGGCAUUGACACCCUUGACUUAAUAUUUGGUAGCACAGCCUUUGGUCAAAAUAACUGCAAUCAAGCACUUCCUGUAGCCAACGACGAGCUUCCUGCACCUUUGUACUGGCAGUUUGGCCCACUCCUCUUGUGCAAACUGCUCCAGUUCUCCCAAAUUAGAAGGUUUUCAAUGGGAUUUAGAUCUGCUGGCCACUUCUGGGUGUGUUUGGGGUCAUUGUCCUGCUGGAAGAGAGACCCAGCUUUCUGACACUGGGUAUGACAUUGCGCUCCAAAAUACCUUGUUAUUCUCCUGAUUUCAUGAUGUCAUGCACACGUUCAAGGCACCCAGUGCCAGAGGCAGCAAAGCAACCCCAAAACAUAGAAAUGGUGUACUUUACCAAAAAGCUCUAAUUUGGUCUCAUCUCAUCAUUUUCCAAGAAGGACUUUGGCAUGUUCAGGUAUGUUUUGUCAAAUUGCAGUCAGGCUUUCUUAUGUCUUUCUCUCAGCAGUGGGGUCCUCCUGGGUCUCCUACCAUAUAACCCCCUUCCAUUGAGUUGGCGACGGAUGGUGCGACAGGAAACUGUCCUACCUUGUGUCUGAAGGUCAGCUUGAAUCUGUGUAGCAGUUGGCCGAGGUGCUUAUCCACCAUUCUAACAAUCCUUCGCUGCAAUCUUCCAUCAAGUUUUUGUGGCCACGUCCAGUGAGGUUAGCUACAGUGUCAUGGGCCUUAAACAUCUCGAUAACAUUACGUACGGUGGAAACAGGAACAUCAAGGUCUCUGGAGAUGGACUUGUGGCAUUGAGAUUGUCCAUGCUUGACUACAAUCUUGUGUCUGACGUCCUCAGAUAAUUCUCUGGUUCUUUCUUUUGUCCAUGCUCGUUGCGGUACACACAGUGUCAAGAGAGAUCUGGAGCUGGUUACUACAGGUACCAGUCCUCUUCUCUAUUUAACCUGGAUGAAUACGUGAUGUUUAUACUGCAGGCACCUGCAACUCACCACUGGUGAGUUCAAUUCCAAAGUAAAGGAGAAUCACCUGCUUG